rnacentral:rRNA from 1 species
AUUGAACGCUGGCGGCAGGCCUAACACAUGCAAGUCGAGCGGCAGCGGGAAAGUAGCUUGCUACUUUUGCCGGCGAGCGGCGGACGGGUGAGUAAUGCCUGGGAAAUUGCCCAGUCGAGGGGGAUAGCAGUUGGAAACGACUGCUAAUACCGCAUACGCCCUACGGGGGAAAGCAGGGGACCUUCGGGCCUUGCGCGAUUGGAUAUGCCCAGGUGGGAUUAGCUAGUUGGUGAGGUAAUGGCUCACCAAGGCGACGAUCCCUAGCUGGUCUGCGAGGCUGAUCAGCCACACUGGAACUGAGACACGGUCCAGACGCCUACGGGAGGCAGCAGUGGGGAAUAUUGCACAAUGGGGGAAACCCUGAUGCAGCCAUGCCGCGUGUGUGAAGAAGGCCUUCGGGUUGUAAAGCACUUUCAGCGAGGAGGAAAGGUUGAUGCCCAAUACGUAUCAACUGUGACGUUACUCGCAGAAGAAGCACCGGCUAACUCCGUGCCAGCCGCCGCAGUAAGAC